ensembl:piRNA 21ur-1437 ncRNA
UCCGACCGUUGUUACAGCUAA